ensembl:lncRNA
AUGGCAUCUGGUCCAAUGGAGCACAGAGAGUUAACCCCAGUCAAAAGCGAGGCUGCCAAGCACGUAAACAAGGAGUGGAAAACUGGCGAUCCUUACCCCCCUCCCCAACUGAAAUCUCUGCCUCCCUCCUCACAAGCCAUUUCACUGAUUUGGCAUCAACUGUUUCCAAAGAAAUUACAGAUUUUAAAUUGUAAGGUGUUCUGGAUGCACAAGUGCAAUGAAAUUCCAGCCAUUUCGAUUCUACCCCCUCGUCACACCAGACGCAUCUUCCUUUAAAAAGAACAAAACCAAGAAGCUUUUACAAUCCUCUCCAGCCUAUUUCACUAAGACCGGUUGCGAACCCACAGCGCCGCGGAGGGAACGCCUGCGCCUCGGCCGGACACUAAGAGUUAAGAUGUGGCGGAGGGGGUGGCGGGGGAGGGGCGGAGAGGAGAAAGUGGCGAGGGGGAGGGAGGCGGGGGGGGGGGGGGGGGGGGGGCGACAGAUUUCCAGCUUCUACGACGCUCUGCCUAAAUUAAAAAGCAACCAAUCGGAACGGCCGGAAGGGGGGCCGCGCGUCCUGAGCCAGUCAUUCCGGGCCUGCCAAUCACCCAGCGGGUAGCCAAUCAGCGGGGGCCCUGGUGCUCGACUUCCUUGUAUUUGGGAAAGUGUGGUGGUGGGUGCGCGCUCGCGGCGGAGGGUAAACAUUCGACAGUCCCUGCUCUGAGAGGGAGGGACAGAGAGCGAACUGUCAGAUCCCUGCGAGAGCGGGCGGGCGAGCGAGGGAGAGGGAGUGAGAGAGAGAGAGAGAGAGAGGGAGGGAGAGGGAAAGUGAGAGAGGGAGAGAGCGCGAACGAGGGCGCAGAGCGAGCUCCCGCUGCAACUCCGCUCCGGCUCGGCCAGCGCCAGCGCCGUCGGUGCACUCUACGAGCCGUGCAACGUGCCCACUGGAGUUGGUUGUGUAUCAAGGAUCCCCUAUAUGCACACACACACCUCCACCUCCACCAAUGCACUCUUCUUCCUCCUCCUCCUCCAGACAACUGCUGGGAAAAAAAUAAAACACCAACCCCAACCGUCAGCAACAAGAGGCAACCAAGAGCUCCGGCAAUAGCAACUUCAGAGAAAUGCACCAUCGCAAGAAGUUUUCCUAGGACAGAACAAAACUUGAAACGAAAGGACCAGAGGAGGAGAGCAGGAGCCAGCCUCUCCUCUCCGCACACGCGAGCAGCCAGCAUCACCACGCCUUCAAGGACGGAAAAAAAGUUUUACUACUCUAAGGGAAAACGAGUGAAAUGUGUUCCUGAGGAGGAGAGAAGAGAGCGGGCAAGGGAAGCAGCGGUCCGGUUGCUGGUCACCCACAAUUUGGUUAAGGAAGAAAGGAACGGCUGCUUUCUUUGUUGUCUCCCGUGAAAUCUUCACUUAGCAGGUGGACUGAGCCCCGCGCCCGGGCAGAGUCCGCGCUCGGCGGAGGACGGCAAGAGGAGCGGGAGCCGGCGCGCCCCGCCAAAGAGCCCGGAGCGCAGGCCCGCGCCCUGCCCGGUGAGCCCCGCUGGAGCGAGCGGAACGCGCCGGGGCUGGGGGGCGGCCACGACCCCCCCUGAAGGGGGCGGCCACGGAGCGCGCCCCGAGAAGCGAGCCCCCCUCCCUAGAGCGCUGCUCCUGCUGCUCCUGCUGCUGCUGCUGCUGCUGCUGCUGACCAAGGCCGGCCGGCGACCCCCGCGCCCUGCCGAGCGGCCUUGCAGCUGCAGCCGGGGGCCGCGGCGGCGGCGGCGGCGGCGGCGGCGGGGGCGGAGGCGGCGGAGGAGGAGGCGGCGGCGAAGGCGGCGGGGCCGGCCGGGGCCCGGGGCGGGGGCGGGGGAGGAGGGGGGGGAG